UCCUCCCGGACCGGGGCACGAACCCGUGUCCCCUGCAUCGGCAGGAGGACUCUCAACCACUGCGCCACCAGGGAAGCCCGAGUUGCAAUUCUUGAUUGUUUCCAUCCUUUCACCACCAAGAGUUCCCUUUUGUUUUUCUCUCUAUGGACCCCAGAUUUUGUCAAGAAAAAAAAUUAAGCAGUGAUCUUUUUUUUUAUUAGGCAAAGAUAUAACUAUGUGUUCUAAAAGUAGUAACCAUCAAUUAUAAAUGGUUUGUCAGCCUUUGAAAAACAUUGCUUAUAAUUUAAGGAUCCUCUUUACUGUCUUCAUGAACUGCUCUAGGACUGCAGGCUGUAUCAUAUGCUUAUUAUAACAUUUUAUUACAAUGAAAGUCACGGUAGACUAAAGAUUUCUGCUCUACAGUUUAAAGAGGAAGAAAAUUCCCCCUUAAUGAUUGUUCAUUUAUUCUUUUUCAUUAACUCAGCAUUUAUUGAUUUGCCUAAGCCUUGUCUUUAUAGAGAAAUCCAAAGAAAUAAAACCAUUUCCUCAUCCUCUAGAUCUGUGCUGUCCAAUACAGUACCCACUAGCCACAUGUGGCCAUUUAAAUUGAAACUAAAUUAAAUUUAAAAUGUAGUUUUUCAUUUCACUAGCCACAUUUCAAGUGCUAAAGAGCCACACGUGGCUAGAGACUACUCAUUGGACAGCAUGGAAUAGAGCAUUUCCGUUAUUGCCAGAAAUUCUUCUGGAUAGCACUGCUCUAACUACAAGGUGAAAUUUUAAUUGGGAGAAUGAGAUACAGUAUAUAAAGUUAUUGGGGAAAUCUUAGUACACUACAGAUCAAACCUCAUUAGAAUGUGUACUUCUUAAGAACAGGGUAAUCUCUAAGAGUUCGGGCUCUGGCUUCAGACUGUGGCUCCAUCACAUGCUGACCUUGGGUAAAUUACUUAACCUCUGUAUCUGUAAAAGGGGGAUGAUAAUAGUACCAAAUUUCAGGGUGGAUAUAGGGAUUAAAUGAGAUAAUCUGUGAAUGACGCUUAGGCUAAAGUCUAGAACGUGACCUUCAAGAAAAGUUAGGUAUUUUUAUAGCAAUAUACAUUAUUAUAAAAAAGGUUUUCUUUUUAAAAAAUUGUAUCCUUGGCACCCCUCACUGUACUUAGCUAAUAGAAAAUGCUUGGUAAAUGCUGAGUUGAUGAAAAAUUGUAAUGCUACACUGAUUUUAUGGAUAUGAGGGCCUCUAUUAAAAAUGAAAACUGAUCUUUCUAUCUCUGUUGAAGGGUAGAGGCCAUUUUAGUGGAAUUUAGGCAGAAUUGUCAUCUCACUUUUUCUGGGGUAAAGAAAGCUGUAUGAUGAGACUUUGGGGGUAGACAGAAGCAGAAAGGCCUUCAGCUCUUAAAGGAAGAAAAGAGGGUCACUUGCCCUCCUUUUUUUUGCUCCUCAGGGCAGGAAUUGGAUAGUGGGAGACAACUGGAUCCCUGAGUUCAGGCAUCAGGUGUUCACCCAAGGGACUUCCUGGAGGAGCACUGGUAACCUCUCAUGAAACUGGAGUUCCAGAAACACUGGCAAAUACUGCUGCAACACCUUGUCAAAAUGAAAGCUCCCUGAUCCUUCUACCACCACCACGAUAAGCUACAGCGGCGGUCUCCAAACUUUUUGGCACCAGGGACCGGUUUCACGGAAGACAAUUUUUCCACGGACCGGGUGGGAGUGGGGGAAGAGAUGGUUCAGUGGUAAUGUGAGCGAUGGGGGACCAUGGGGAGCAGCCGAUGAAGCUCCACUGUCUGCAGCUCACCUCCUGCUGUGUGGCCCAUUUCCUGACAGGGGGGGUUGGGGACCCCCGAGCUACAGGACUGCUGUAUCACUCCUACAAAGGUACCACACCUACCCUUUUACAGUCACCUCCAUCCUCCUCCCCACCCCAUCUAAUUCCUGUCAAUCACUAAUAUGUUCUCAUCUCUAUCAUUUCAAAAAUUCUAGAUAAAUGGAAUCAUCCAGUGUAUAACCUUUUGGAUUGGCUUUUUUUUUUUUUAAUUCAGCAUAAUUCCCUUGGGAUCUAUCCAAGUUGUUAUAUGUAUCAAUAGUUUGUUCUUUUUUUUGAGAAAUAUUCCAUGGUAUGUGUGUCCCACAGUUUAACCAUUCACCCACUGAAGGAUGUUUCCGUUGUUUCCAGUUUAGGCUAUUAUGAAUAAAGCUACUAUAAACAUUCAUGUGCAGAUUUUAUGUGAACAUAAAUUUUCAUUUUUCUGGUAUAAAUGCCUAAGGGUACAAUUGAUGGGUGCAUAAUUAGUUUUAUAAGAAACUGCCGAAGUAUUUUCCAGAGUGGCUGUACGAUUUUACAUCCCUAUCAGCAAAGUAUGUGCGAUAAAUAACAUGCUUUCAAUGUAUUAAAUGAACUUAUUAAAUUGAAGUAUAGUCAAACGUUUCUUUUACUAUCCACUACUCUACUGACUGUAAUUGCUUGUUUACUUGAACCCCGCCAGACUAAACUUCAGGAUCAGGCAUCCUGUGCCUAACAUAGUGACUUGCAUAUAAUAGACAGUCGAUAAAUAUUUGUUCAGCAAAUGAACAAAUUAAUGAACAGAAGAAGAAUAGCUGAGUCAGGUUGAAAUCAAGUUGAAAAAUUACAUUGCCCAUAAAUUAUAACGAGAACUGAAUUUGAAUUGGAUGCCAUGAUUUUUCUUCCAAUAUAUAACAUUUUCAAGUCAGAAAUUGGCAGUCCAUAAGGUAAGUCAUUUGUGGGUCAAUUAAUAAAAACUAAAGGCCUAUUAUGUGGCACCAAGGUUAUUUGUUGUAGUACUUUGUUAAGAACAAAAAAUUGAAAAUAAUCUAAAUGACCAAUGAUA